CGACUUGUGGCAACUGAUGCAGCUCCGCCGCAAGGCUCAGGCGAGUGAGGACGGCGUGUCCAAGGUACCGACCAGGACCAACUACAUUGUUUCUGAGGCAAGCCAGCAGUGGAAUGCAGGGGGAUAUGCUGCUGGCAAGUAAUUCACCCCCUCUUAUCUGUAUUAAGUCCUGGAGUGCUUGCUCAUCAAAGCGCUGUCCCGCAGCUGGGGGCCUGUCUGUGUGGUGAAUGUUUCCAAAGGAAAGGCAACUCCCCAAAGAGAAGCACCACUCCUGUGUAUGCUGUGUAUGCUGUGGAACAAAAUGAAUAGCUGAGUAGUACAGAUCACUAGGGGAGGCUGCUGAGAGGGGACGGCUCAUUGUAAUGGCUGGAAUGGAAUUAAUGGAAUGGAGU